CCCAGCGGUCUCUGUCUGGAGGAAACGUGAAGGCGAAAGGAAAAGCGGCAAUAUCACAGCAUUUUCACAGCUCAGUGAUUUCACACAGCACCUCAGCUCUGUCUGGCGUGAAGGAACAGGUGACUAGAACAGCUCUGACUGAGGACACAGCACUGCAGUCACACAGGCAGGACCAUAAGAGGAAGGAAAAGGAGCACCAAGAGUGUGACCAGGGCCAUGGCGAUAGGGGCCACUUUAGGGAAUGGGAAAAAGGCUGACCAGGAGACCAACAGAGGAGAGAGGAGAAGAAGAAAUGAAAGAACAGGUGAAGAAGCUGCAGUUUCUAGAGAUUUGGCCAGGAAGAGGGCUGAGGAGGAGGCAUUGAGUCACCCCUAAGUACUGUCAAAGGAGGAGAGGGCAGCUGAAGAUCUCAAAAGCCUCCAGGAACAAGUGGAGGAGGUGGAAGAAAAGGCAGGAAGAGGAGUGCAAGGCUUGGGACUGCAUGUACCAGGAGAGGCUGUGAGAGCAGGCCUAGUGGCAGAAGGAACCCCUGGAGCAGGACAUAAUGGAGGCAGAACAAGGAGGACAUGGAGAUGAGACACUGGUGGCCUGGGUCUGAAGGAGCAGAAGGUGCAGCCAAGUUUUAUAGGAAUUACAUUGAGCAGUGACACAUGCUGGCCGAUAAGGACGAGGGGGUGGUCGUCUCAAGAAGGCUGUCAGGCACAGCCACAUUGUCUCACCUUAAGAUCAAAUUAUCAGUACCUGUGAUGCUUCAAGGCAGGGCAUCACAUACACAACCUCAUUGCUCAGGUUAAUAUAAGGACAUUGAACCAGA
rnacentral:lncRNA from 1 species